rnacentral:rRNA from 1 species
ACCAGACUCCUACGGGAGGCAGCAGUGGGGAAUAUUGGACAAUGGGGGGAACCCUGAUCCAGCGACGCCGCGUGAGUGAAGAAGUAUUUCGGUAUGUAAAGCUCUAUCGGCAGGGAAGAAAGAAAUGACGGUACCUGACUAAGAAGCCCCGACUAACUACGUGCCAGCCGCCGCGGUAAUACGUAGGGGGCAAGCGUUAUCCGGAUUUACUGGGUGUAGAGGGGGCGCAGGCGGCGAUGCAAGCCAGGAGUGAAAGCCCGGGGCCCAACCCCGGGACUGCUCUUGGAACUGCGUGGCUAGAGUGCAGGAGGGGCAGGCGGAAUUCCUGGUGUAGCGGUGAAAUGCGUAGAUAUCAGGAGGAACACCGGUGGCGAAGGCGGCCUGCUGGACUGCAACUGACGUUGAGGCCCGAAAGCGUGGGGAGCAAACAGGAUUAGAUACCCUCGUAA